rnacentral:rRNA from 1 species
UACGGAAGGCAGCAGGGGGAAUCUUGCGCAAUGGGCGAAAGCCUGACGCAGCCAUGCCGCGUGAAUGAUGAAGGUCUUAGGAUUGUAAAAUUCUUUCACCGGGGACGAUAAUGACGGUACCCGGAGAAGAAGCCCCGGCUAACUUCGUGCCAGCAGCCGCGGUAAUACGAAGGGGCUAGCGUUGCUCGGAAUUACUGGGCGUAAAGGGAGCGUAGGCGGACAUUUAAGUCAGGGGUGAAAUCCCGGGGCUCAACCUCGGAAUUGCCUUUUGAUACUGGGUGUCUUGAGUAUGAGAGAGGUGUGUGGAACUCCGAGUGUAGAGGUGAAAUUCGUAGAUAUUCGGAAGAACACCAGUGGCGAAGGCGACACACUGGCUCAUUACUGACGCUGAGGCUCGAAAGCGUAGGGGAGCAAACAGGGAUUAGAU